AUUAUGUUCCUGGUGCAUUACGUAUGUAUUCAAUCAAAGAAGUUAGGUUGUUCUCCAGAAUUGGCUCUCUCCUAAAGGUCAAAAC
rfam:Choloepus hoffmanni cont1.165162, whole genome shotgun sequence.